UACAGAGGUCUCAAGCGUUGUUCGGAUUCAUUGGGCGUAAAGGGCGCGUAGGCGGUCCGUUAAGUUAGAUGUGAAAACUCUGGGCUCAACCCAGAGCCUGCAUCUAAUACUGACGGGCUAGAGUUCUGGAGGGGGUAGCGGAAUUCCUGGUGUAGCGGUGAAAUGCGUAGAUAUCAGGAGGAACACCGGUGGCGAAGGCGGCUACCUGGACAGAAACUGACGCUGAGGCGCGAAAGCUAGGGGAGCAAACAGG
rnacentral:rRNA from 1 species